ACGGCGGGUUGCAUGGCUGUCGGUAUCCUCCCGUCAAACGGAGGAGGCUGAGGAAGUUCCGCCCACCAUUUGCGAAAGCAAACACAUAGAUGCGCAAGCAUCCCCGCCUAAGGCGGGAGCGCGGAACAGAAACGAAACCGCUUCGGGAGCAGGAUGACGAACAGGACUUUCCCAGAAGAACGGAUGAAACGCGCCGCGCUUGGUGCAAGUUCGAAGCCUUCGGGCCGAGGACGCUAAGUCGAAUGCCAUGGACAACAGAAGGCGGGCUACGGACUCGCCGU
rnacentral:RNase_P_RNA from 1 species